GAGACACAGUGGGUGUCCGAGGCGGGGCUCUGCGUCCGAAGGCGAGACGUCCGAGGUCAGAGGGGAGGAGACAGACCCGACCUUCCUUGGCUGUGCUCUCCAGCCCUGCCCUCUGCAGCCUCCCUGCCCUGGACAGAAAUCUGGCUGAGACCCCAGACCCUGAUGGGGCAGAGCCUGGCACUGGAGGAGCCACCAGGAUGGGCCCCUGUGGGUGUGGGCAGAGGGUGAUCCUCAGUUCAGGUUUGUGCCAGAAGAUGGGUUCCUGCAGGAGGGGGUCUCAGCAGCUCAGACCAGAUGCGCUCACUGCUGCUCACUGUGGGACAGCCAGACACGGAGCCCUCUGUUCUCCAGCAGUUGUGGACAAUGAGGGAUCCCUGGAGGGAUGCCUGGUGGGCAGCAGGAGUCCCUCUUGUGGGUCAGGGUGCGGGGAUGGGCUCUCCCUGCAGGGACUUCCCAGUCUUGUCCUCUGGGAUUGGCAGUUUGCAGGGGUAUCCUCGGCAUCAGACCAGGGGGGCCACACAGGG
rnacentral:antisense_RNA from 1 species